rnacentral:tRNA from 1 species
GGGCGGUUAGCUCAGCGGGAGAGCGCUGCGUUGACAUCGCAGAGGUCACUGGUUCAAUCCCAGUACCGCCCACCA